rnacentral:rRNA from 1 species
GACAGAGGAUGCAAACGUUGCUCGGAAUUACUGGGCGUAAAGCGCAUGUAGGCGGUCCGGUAAGUCAGGUGUGAAAUCCCGGGGCUCAACCUCGGAAGGGCACAUGAUACUGCCGGACUUGAGUACUGGAGAGGAGAGUGGAAUUCCCGGUGUAGAGGUGAAAUUCGUAGAUAUCGGGAGGAACACCAGUAGCGAAGGCGACUCUCUGGACAGAUACUGACGCUGAGAUGCGAAAGCGUGGGAAGCAAACAGG